UUUCAUCAUGAUAUGAUUAAUAGUGAUGUGUGGAUCAAUACUGAAAUAUCGACAUAUCCGAUACCAGAUCUUUAUACUCUAGAAUCAGUUCACAAAACAAAAUAUCGAUACUUCUGAUACUUUGGUCAUUUGAGGUCAUGUAUAUCAGGAACACAGUGGAAAGUAGCU